rnacentral:rRNA from 1 species
UACGGAGGGUGCAAGCAUUAUCCGGAUUCACUGGGUUUAAAGGGUGCGUAGGAGGGCAGGUAAGUCAGUGGUGAAAUCUCCAAGCUUAACUUGGAAACUGCCGUUGAUACUAUCUGUCUUGAAUAUUGUGGAGGUGAGCGGAAUAUGUCAUGUAGCGGUGAAAUGCUUAGAUAUGACAUAGAACACCAAUUGCGAAGGCAGCUCACUACUCAAUCAUUGACUCUGAGGCACGAAAGCGUGGGGAUCAAACAGG